rnacentral:lncRNA from 1 species
UGAAGGCCAGAAAGCACUGCUGGGAUGCUGCUGCCAUCCUGGCUGUGUAAGGACCCAGUGUCACAGCAGGAGAGCACCAGCUGGAACUGCGCUUGGGCUGGGUGCAAUGCUGGAGUCACCAGGAUUCACUGGAGUUCAGGAAAAGAAGAGCUGGGAACAAUG